GGCACUUGUGUGUGUGUCUUUGCUGAGUUUGUAACAAAGCGUUACAGACAGGUGCAAACAGUAAUCCUCUUUUGCAACCCAGAAUUCAUUGUUGAAUAUGAGAUUUUGUACAUGAAAGAAGGAAUGUG